rnacentral:rRNA from 1 species
AUGAUAGGUCUGAUAUGGAAUUGUAGAGGGUGUGGUAAGAAGGGUUUGGCUAAUUACUUGCAGGAAUUAUUAAGCAAUAAUGAAGUGGAUUCUAUGGGGCUACAGGAAACAAUGAAGAGAAAUUAUUCUGCAAGUUUCUUCAGGAAGAUGAUCAUACUGAUCAAUUUUCUUGGCACUAGAUUCCCUCUGUUGGAACCCUGUAGAUUUAACAUUACUGAUACUUCUCAAGGGAGAUUUCACAUCAAAAUUCAGUUUUUUGAUGUGAAGCUGCAGAUAACAUUGGGCCGUGAUCAUUGUCUAUGA